UCCGGUAUGGUGUAGGGGUUAACAUCGUCCGCUUUCAACGUCGCAAUUGAUGGCCCGGACAGCCCCGGGUUCGAUUCCCGGUACCGGAA
rnacentral:tRNA from 1 species